rnacentral:rRNA from 1 species
AUUGAACGCUGGCGGCAUGCCUUACACAUGCAAGUCGAACGGCAGCACGGGUGCUUGCACCUGGUGGCGAGUGGCGAACGGGUGAGUAAUAUAUCGGAACGUACCUUAUUGUGGGGGAUAACGCAGCGAAAGCUGUGCUAAUACCGCAUAAUCCCUUAGGGGGAAAGCGGGGGACCGUAAGGCCUCGCGCAAUUAGAGCGGCCGAUACCUGAUAAGCUAGUUGGUGAGGUAAAGGCUCACCAAGGCGACGAUGAGUAGCUGGUCUGAGAGGACGAUCAGCCACACUGGGACUGGGACACGGCCUAGACUCCUACGGGAGGCAGCAGGGGGGAAAUUUGGACAAUGGGGGCAACCCUGAUCCAGCAAUGACGCGUGAGUGAAGAAGGCCUUCGGGUUGUAAAGCUCUUUUGUCAGGGAAGAAACAGCAGCUCUAACACAGUAUGCGAAUGACGGUACCUGAAGAAUAAGCACCGGCUAACUACGUGCCAGCCGCCGCAGUAA